UAAGGUGCCACCAACCUCCUGUGCUUGACACGACUAGUAGAAAAAUUAAGUGAAGAAGCUAGCUAGCUAUAGAAAUUGCACAGUAGCCAUUUCUAUACAGAAGAAACACAACAUAAACGAAUACAUCCGCCUCUUCAGAAUAAUGAAAUCCGAUUGGACGCUCGUUUCAAUGCUCAAACGCUAUUAGCUGAAUGCAAUGUCAACAAAACUCAGUUUGGCAUUCUUGGUCCUCUCAUUGGAUCCUCUUCAGCUGGUGCAAUUGUGCCUUGCUCCCGGGAGCAACAGGAAGCAGAGUGGAUUUUCAAUGGAUUUGGACCAAGUCAAGACAUCAAGAUGGGACUAGAGGUACACAUUUCAAGAUACCAUAAACCUCUGGCAUGUCAAAGAUUAAUUCAGUGUUGAAAAAUGGAAGGACUGCAUUGUGUUGUAGCUACAUCUAAUCAAUUUAAGCACACAGGUUUGAAGUGUCUUUUUAUAAAAUAAAUCAUCAUAAUGUACUGUCUGUGGGAUGUCACGUCACUACAUUUCCCCUGAAUAGGAAAUAGAAAGGCUUGACAGAGAAUAAGGAGAAAGGGGUUUUGGGUGAUGGAUGCUCCUCAAGGAAAUUCAUUGCAGUUUGCUAAUGGAUAAAAAAGGCUUUAGGGGGUGCAAAUGUUAGUAUUUUUUUUUCUUAAAAACACUUGAUGUAAAAGUCUAAACAGUGAGUGUUAAUCAUACUCAACUGCGUCAUCAUCAAUGUAUUGCUUUUGAGCAGAAGGCAUUGAACAUUCAUUGUGCUGAACACAAGUGCACUUUCUUCUUUAUUAUAUUUAAAUAGCGCCCUGUUUUGUCACAUCCAUUAGUUGUGAUUUUCUUUGCUUGUGUUUAAAAAUCCAUGAAGGCAAAUAUAUUAAUUAAAUAACAAAUCACAGCGAGAUUUCUUAUCAGCAUGCAGGUUGACCAGCUGCUGCUUCUGCAAAACCAAAUAAACAAAUAGCACUCCUUCAGAAAAAAAGAAAACGUCGGCCUAAUAACUUAAAAUAGCCAGGUUCGAAGAUCUGUAAUUAUAUUAAAUAAUAAACAUGGUUGCUUAACACUUUGACAGGUGCACAAUGAAUCAAUUCCAUUGUCAAUUGGAAACAAACUUUCGAAGAUUCCCUCGACAACAUUUCAGAUCAUCAAUCACGGUGUCUCGUGUCAUGGCGGAAUGAAUGGCCUAUCUCGCGUCAUCUCGUUUGGUUGAAAUUUUACAACACGAAAGCAGACUGAUUUGACCGUCACUCCAUGUAAUUGAAAAUGUUCAUUGGGUUCAUGAAAUAAAAUAGUUUCACCGUAAACACGUUGGAUUACAGAAAGUUAAACCUAUAACUUUUGAAGGGUAUAAUUCCAGCAGACUAUAGGUUGAUGACGGAAGUGGAUGGUGGUGUUGAUGAUUGGCCUAGGCU